GCCCAGGGGUGUCCUUCGAAGACUAGAAGCCCCAAGCCCAGAAGGAAGAACGAUGGCCACAGAGCAGGGUUUCCGGGCAGAGUUUUCAGCAUGGGAACUCAGACAAUGACCAGAAGGCUGCUUCAGACAAGAGCUCACACUCAGGUGUUUCAGGAGUUUUACCAGGGCCCACAUUCAGAGCCACAAAGCCUGGGUCUGUCCAGGAGGAAGUCCAGCUGUGGAAGUCUCUACACACUGUCACUCUGGGCCUGGUGGACACAGGGACUGCCAAGGAAAGGCCAGCUGGGAUUCAAAGUGAGGUGACAAAGCCUUGCUUCUCCUCCUGCACACUCUCCUUCGGGGGCGCUGCUAAGCCACAGCCAACCUCUGUAAAGGAAGCUCUGGAAGACCCACUCAACACCCCACCCCCAACCUCUGGGCUGGUGGGCAGCAGCUGCUCAGACUCUGAUCCCUCAGCAGACACCUGCCAUCCCAGAGAGCCUGGAUUCUCCUCUUCAUUUCCGCCCUGUACUCCCUGUUACACUCUGGAUUGGGCUGCUGGUUCAAGAGGACACAGAGAUGUUUUACUAAAGAAUCAAGAAUUUCUUAAGAGAAUUAUUAACAGCAUGGACAGACAGAGGGACACUAGCAUGCAGGGGCACCUGGGACCAACACCAGAGACAACAGUGUGCUGCAUAGGAGGCCAUGGGUGUCCCUGAAGAGCCUCAGAGCCCAUGGAAUGGAGGAAGGGGCUUCCUGUACCUCUUAAGGAGAGGAUCACAGCAGCAGCUAGCAGCCAAGCCCCCCCCAUUUCCUGGCAGGCAGCAGGGAUGUGGGUGGGGGAUAGGAUGUGACCCCCCCUUUAUGUAAAUCACUCCCAGGGGAGAGGUCUGGACACCUUGAAGUGGGCUAGCUCAGGACUCAUCCCAGCAGGAUGCCCGUCAGGAACCAUGACAUUCUGCUGCUGCCUGUGCAGACAUCACUAAGGGUACCUACUUAUACCCAUGAAAAGCCAGAAUCUGAGGGAAAAGGGUAAGUGGAGGCCAAGACUGUGAAGGCACGUUGUUCUGUCUUGGAUCCACAGGGAACCAGAGGAAGAAGCACGACUCUUCUGCUCAUGGCUCCUUCCAAAAGAAGAUAUAAUUGCCCCUCUCCCAAAGGUGGUUAGACAGAGGUGGAUUGGCACUUCAAAUUGAUGGGGUGUCAAAUGUAGCUUCGGGAUCUAGGGUUUCUCCAGCUCUUGAUCUCUCCAAGAUCAGCCCACAGGACACCCAGGCCUGAGGGACCAUCAUCUGGGAUCUCACAUGGAACCCAUCUUUACAGCAGAGCUCUGGGGUUACAGGCAGGCCUCCAUCUCCAUACAGCUUUUGCGUGGGUGCUAGGGAGCCGGAUAUUGGUCCCUAUGCCCAUGUGGCAAGUGCCCUGUCCACUGAGCCACCACCCGAGCCCUGGGGGCCAUUUUAGAAGAGCAUAAAAAUGCAAACCGCAGGCCACCCCCUAGACCUGGAAACUGCUGCUUGUGUGCAGACCACAUGACUGCAGAGCCUCACCCGGGAAAAUGAGCUAUGGGGACUCAGACUUGUCACCGCCCUCGGUUGUCUGUGAAUGACCUUCACUGUGCCCAGAGAACUGGGGUGGGGACCACAGACAGCUUUUGGCCAAUAGGCAAGUGUAUAAAUAAGGAACCUGGGAAUCAAGAUGGCAUGCACUGCCACCUCGGAGCCUCUGGUGACCCACAGUGCCUACUGGCUACUCCAGCCCUGGUGCCACCUAGCUCCUAGCUGCAGAUGGCAAAUGCCAAUAAGAACUGCACUUUCCUCAUUAGAUCUGUCUCCUCCACUGCCUGGUGCCCUGACCACAGGGCAGGCAGCUUCCUCAGACUGCACAAACCACACCUCAGAGCAAGGAAGUUGGCGCCUAAGCCCUCAAGAAGGUCAGCUCCAGAGAUCACAUGCCACUGUCCCCUGCACUUGGGGAGACCCUGAGUGGUUGGACAGGGUUUACACAGGAAAGCAUGGCGUACAGGUGUCCCCUGAGCAAAGGCCAGCGAAAAAUGGACCUUCACCUUCAGGAGCAUUAGAGGAUUCCAAGAGAGCCUGUGAGAAAGAGGGACAUUUGUCAGCUCUCUGCAGAAGUGCUCUCCCAUUCAUCAUGCCCCAGGCGAGCACCCGUAGCUGGCCAGGGAGACUGAAUGUCCGAACUGCCCCUCUGGGAAAGAUGAUGGAGAUCUCCUGAAACAAGGAUUGGCCUGGCUCCAAGGAACCCGAGGACCCUAACCAGCAGGAAGCAGCUAAGAAAAUUGUGCCCUAUCUCCCUACUCCACCUUUUCUCCCUCCUACCUGAUGUUGGGGUGUUAGAAGGGAUUGGGGUGGAGUAGGGAGAAAAAAAUAUAAGAAACAUAAAUAAAAAAAAAUUUUUAAAGUAUGCCAACAGAGUAGAGGGGGUUGAAGAGUUGCUGAUGAGGGGGCUCAGAACAAGCAGAGUCCCCGCUACCCUGGCAAGACGGCUGGACAAGCCUCCAAAGCCGCUUGGAGGCCAGCCACAGGCUCUCCUUGUCCUGGCUCCUCAGACCUGCCAUGCUGCCGCAUCUCCAUCCUCCCUGAGAGGAUGCUGCUCAGCUGAGGAUGCUCAG